rnacentral:rRNA from 1 species
AGAGUUUGAUCCUGGCUCAGAACGAACGCUGGCGGCAUGCCUAACACAUGCAAGUCGAACGAACCCUUCGGGGUUAGUGGCGCACGGGUGCGUAACGCGUGGGAACCUGCCUUUAGGUUCGGAAUAACUCAGAGAAAUUUGAGCUAAUACCGGAUAAUGUCUUCGGACCAAAGAUUUAUCGCCUUUAGAUGGGCCCGCGUUAGAUUAGAUAGUUGGUGGGGUAAUGGCCUACCAAGUCGACGAUCUAUAGCUGGUCUGAGAGGAUGAUCAGCCACACUGGGACUGAGACACGGCCCAGACUCCUACGGGAGGCAGCAGUGGGGAAUAUUGGACAAUGGGCGAAAGCCUGAUCCAGCAAUGCCGCGUGAGUGAUGAAGGCCUUAGGGUUGUAAAGCUCUUUUACUAGGGAUGAUAAUGACAGUACCUAGAGAAUAAGCUCCGGCUAACUCCGUGCCAGCAGCCGCGGUAAUACGGAGGGAGCUAGCGUUGUUCGGAAUUACUGGGCGUAAA